CCUACGGGUGGCUGCAGUGGGGAAUAUUGGACAAUGGGGGGAACCCUGAUCCAGCCAUGCCGCGUGUGUGAAGAAGGCCCUCGGGUUGUAAAGCACUUUCAGUGAGGAAGAACGCCUGGUGGUUAAUACCCAUCAGGAAAGACAUCACUCACAGAAGAAGCACCGGCUAACUCCGUGCCAGCAGCCGCGGUAAUACGGAGGGUGCGAGCGUUAAUCGGAAUUACUGGGCGUAAAGCGCGCGUAGGUGGCUUGAUAAGCCGGUUGUGAAAGCCCCGGGCUCAACCUGGGAACGGCAUCCGGAACUGUCAAGCUAGAGUGCAGGAGAGGAAGGUAGAAUUCCCGGUGUAGCGGUGAAAUGCGUAGAGAUCGGGAGGAAUACCAGUGGCGAAGGCGGCCUUCUGGACUGACACUGCCACUGAGGUGCGAAAGCGUGGGUAGCAAACAGGAUUAGAUACCCGGGUAGUC
rnacentral:rRNA from 1 species